UCUCUCGCUCUCUAGCUCUCAUCUCUCUCGAAGUGUGCUCUCACGGUGUUACGCUCGUACGUUGUAAAUCGGUGUAGGGAAAGCUUCGAAUUUACGUUUGAACUAUCCAAGAAAGGGUGAUCGUUUACGAGGAAAGUGUGGUUGAAGAAGGGAAUUAUUUUAAAAGCUAAG